rnacentral:rRNA from 1 species
AGUGAACGCUGGCGGUAGGCCUAACACAUGCAAGUCGAACGGCAGCACAGUAAGAGCUUGCUCUUACGGGUGGCGAGUGGCGGACGGGUGAGGAAUACAUCGGAAUCUACUUUUUCGUGGGGGAUAACGUAGGGAAACUUACGCUAAUACCGCAUACGACCUACGGUUGAAAGCAGGGGAUCUUCGGACCUUGCGCGAUUGAAUGAGCCGAUGUCGGAUUAGCUAGUUGGCGGGGUAAAGGCCCACCAAGGCGACGAUCCGUAGCUGGUCUGAGAGGAUGAUAAGCCACACUGGAACUGAGACACGGACCAGACUCCUACGGGAGGCAGCAGUGGGGAAUAUUGGACAAUGGGCGCAAGCAUGAUCCAGCCAUACCGCGUGGGUGAAGAAGGCCUUCGGGUUGUAAAGCCCUUUUGUUGGGAAAGAAAAGCAGCAGGUUAAUACCCCGCUGUUCUGACGGUACCCAAAGAAUAAGCACCGGCUAACUUCGUG